rnacentral:rRNA from 1 species
GAUGAACGCUGGCGGCGUGCCUAAUACAUGCAAGUCGAGCGAACAGACGAGGAGCUUGCUCCUCUGACGUUAGCGGCGGACGGGUGAGUAACACGUGGAUAACCUACCUAUAAGACUGGGAUAACUUCGGGAAACCGGAGCUAAUACCGGAUAACAUGUUGAACCGCAUGGUUCAACAGUGAAAGACGGUCUUGCUGUCACUUAUAGAUGGAUCCGCGCCGCAUUAGCUAGUUGGUAAGGUAACGGCUUACCAAGGCAACGAUGCGUAGCCGACCUGAGAGGGUGAUCGGCCACACUGGAACUGAGACACGGUCCAGACUCCUACGGGUGGCAGCAGUAGGGAAUCUUCCGCAAUGGGCGAAAGCCUGACGGAGCAACGCCGCGUGAGUGAAGAAGGUCUUCGGAUCGUAAAACUCUGUUAUUAGGGAAGAACAAAUGUGUAAGUAACUAUGCACGUCUUGACGGUACCUAAUCAGAAAGCCACGGCUAACUACGUG